GUUAACAAGGUGUUUGCAUGUCGGGUUUGUUCCGAAGGAAUCUUUGUAGGGGUUAAUC
rnacentral:tRNA from 1 species